CUAAAUCCUACCUGACCCUAAAUCAUACCUAAACCUAGACCUUAACCCUAUCUAACCCUAAACCCUACAUAAACAAAACCAUAAUCACUAAACCCUUCAUACUACCUAAACCCUAAACCUAUCAAAUCGUAAACUAACCCUAAACCUAAACCCUACCUAACCCUAAACCCUACUAACCCUAAACCCUACUAACCUUAAACCCUACUAACCCUAAACCCUACCUAACCCUAAACCCUACCUACCCUAAACCCUUUCUAACCCUAAACCCUACCUAACCCUAAACCUCUUCUAACCCUAAACCCUACCUAACCCUAAACCCUUUCUAGCCCUAAUUCCUACUAACCCUAAACCCUUCUAACCCUAAACCAUGCUAACCCUAAACCCUACCUAAUUCUAAACCCUACCUAACCCUAACCCUACAUAACCCUAAACCCUACUAACCCUAAACCCUACCUAACCGAAACGCUACCUAACCCUAAAACCAUUCUAACCCUAAACCCUUUCUAACCCUAAACCAUUCUAACCCUAAACCCUUUCUAACCCUAAACCCUACUAACUCUAAACCCUACUAACCCUAAACCCUAUUAACCCUAAACCCGACAUAACCCUAAACCCUACUAACCCUAAAACCUACCCAAUUCUAAACCCUACCUAACCCUAAACCCCAUGUAACCCUAAAACCUACCUAACCCUAAACCCUACUGAACCCUAAACCCUACCUAACCCUAAACCCUACCAACCCUAAACCCUACUUAACCC
rnacentral:lncRNA from 1 species